UAACACGCAUUUCGCGCAGUAAAAUAUAAUGUCUCUACAGCUUGUAAAUUGUAAUCAUGUUUGACAUAGGCAUUGUUCUAUAAAAGUAAAAAGCUGAGCUGAAACAUAAUAUAAACUAAGUAAAAAUAUAAAAGUGAAAAUAUAAAAGUGAAAAUAUAAAAGUGAAAAGAUAAAAGUGAAAAGAUAAAAGUUAAAAGUGAAAAUAUAAAAGUGAAAAUAUAAAAGUGAAAAUAUAAAAGUGAAAAUAUAAAAGUGAAAAUAUAAAAGUGAAAAUAUAAAAGUGAAAAUAUAAAAGUGAAAAUAUAAAAGUGAAAAUAUAAAAGUGAAAAUAUAAAAGUGAAAAUAUAAAAGUUGAAGUUAGAGAUGAGCGUCUAAGCAGGAAGACCACCUGGGGCUAUGGUAUGUGAGACUGUAGAUAAAAGGCGGGCGGACGACGGACGACGGACGACGGAGCAUUUUAUAAACACAUGAUUACUACCGCAACUAAUUAUAAUACCCUAUAAAUUAAAGUACACCAGCCUUAGAUCUGUGAAAUGAAUAUGUUUUCACCCGUUCGAAUUUUUAGCCAUGGAAUUUAAUUUAAUCCGCAUUCAAUAUGUAUGUAUGAUAGGAGGCUAUUCGCCGUCUUUCGCGUGAAACGUUUGGAAAUAUUGUAGCAAAGCGCCUUAGUUUUGGUGCUUCUGUAUAUAACUGCGCUAACACUGCCAUUGAAUUAAAUUCAGUUACAUUCACUUGCUGUCAUUUUCAUAGUUUACAUUGCGCUGACCUAGCCUCCUCCGCAGGCAUCGCCUUUCGAUUAUCGGGCAAAGCGCUGACCUAUAAUCCCCGUUUUACUUACCAAAAGGCUAACACGUGCCAAGGUCCAUUCAUGUGAGUGCUUAUACACAUCACUAUUCCACUGUGUAUAAAUGUAGAACGAAAUUAUAACCUUCCCUAAGCCUUUCAAAUACAUUUAAAAUACUCAUGUCAGCCAUAAUAUGUCACGUGAAGUGACUUUAUAUCUGAUAAAACUCAUUUUCAUUAGCAUUCUUUAUGGGUAUGGCUAAAGGGAGAGUAGUACCAACCGGAGAGUAAUCUCGGAGAGAUAUGAUUUCGGAGAUUUAUGUUCGAACCACGCCCACUUUUCCCAACGACCACACCCAACUUCUUAACUCUCCC